UGGAGAUUGUUCUCACCUGUUCUAAGUCAAUACCACACCUGCACCUCUUGUUUGUCAGGAUCUCAGCAUUCAUGUCAAGCUUUUCAAUUUCUUCUGCCUUCAAGUCCUUCAUCUGAACUCCACACACCGAAAGUCAUGAAAGCAUCCAUCGAGCUCACAAUCGACAGAAGAAACAAGAAGAGCCGCCCCGUUUGCUCAGGCUGAUGAAAGCAGACCCGGAGGGUCUUUUAGUUAGUGCCUGACAGAAGCAGCAGCCGCAGAGAGGUGCCUGGUGCUACCGGAGGUGUGACAGAGUCCCAGCCCACCGUACAUUGAUUCACACAGGAUUAAGCUACUGCAGAAUGCUGCAGGCGGAAGGCUCGGCGCAGGUGAUUUACCGUCACUGUCAGACUUAACAUCACCGGACACCUCUGCCCUGCUCCCGUCUGCUGUGGAGGGACUACGCAAAACCAUCUGCCACUGCACCACCCAAAGGCAUGACUCACCCUCAUCUCACACAGGCCUUAAUGGGGAAGAAAUGUGUCUGCCAUAACCCCAUCAUCAAAGGAAGACACCCGUAAUCAAUCACAAAAAGCAAAGACAUCCCGUUCCACGAAUGAACAAGAGGUGAAGCGUCUAACCGGC
rnacentral:lncRNA from 1 species